rnacentral:misc_RNA from 1 species
ACACACACACACAUAUAUAUAUAUAUAUAGGCAUAUAUCUAUGCAUAUUAUGUAUGUGUGCAUCUUUACAUGCACCCGCGCAUAAUACGCUUCGACCGCCUCACUCGCUCCCUCCCCGUGUCUUUCCGUCCCUCCUCUUUUCCGUAUAAUGUGUUGCAGAGGCCAGUGUGGCGGACUAGAGCAAUUUUUUCGCCGUUGUGAACCCUCGCAUGACCACACGGGACGCGCUUGGCGGUCACACGCAGGUAUUGAAGCAGCUCCCCCAUUGACCCGCGUAUUAUCGAGCUGGAGAAGGAGGGAGGGGGAGAGGGAGCUUGCGUUUGCUGCAUGCUCGGUGAGGUUUCCAUGUGCGACUCGAUCUCAGAGUCCCUACGCAUCUCACAGUUAGAUAUCACCGCCCGCUCGACUUGGUGCUGCCUGGCGACGAAGGCGCAGGUGGCGCGGUUGCCUCGAGGGGCGUCUUGGCGCGACUCAGCCUCUUCCGUUGAAUGCGCCUUCAUUUUCGCGCGAGGCGGAGAGGCCACGCCAGGAGUUUGAUAACGUGCCUCGUUGCCCUGGCAGUGGCGCUUCUCACGCUGUGGGCCAUUGUGUGGGUUGUGCUCAUUGUGAGCAAUGUCCGUUUCCAAGAGGAGGGGUGGCUCCCGCACGCCAAUCAUCUCCACCGGAAGGCGCAAGAGGAGGCGUUCCUGAAGGCGCUCAUGGCCGAGGCGGGACGGCGGCAACGGGGGCAGCGGCAAGGUUUAGCAUGAUGGUGCGCACCGAUGACACGAAUACUGAAGGGAGGAGUGGGAGGGCUUGCGGUGUGUGCGUGUGCGUGUGUGUGGCGGAGGGGAGGGGCUAAGGUGGGGGUGGCGGCGGCGUUAGUGCGCCAUGAUGUGAUGGCGCCUUUCGAAAGGCAGAGCACCGCAGCUCUAUGAGAGUGCUGUUUCGAACACGCAGCAGAGGAGCUGAGGAGGGAAGGGGCCAAGGGCUGCAGCUGACAUUGAUGACCCUCUCCGCACCCCUCAUGCCUCACUCCCCUCCUUUCAGCACUGCCGCGCUGUCUGCUGUCUUUCCUCUUAGCCUGAGCGGUGACUGUUGUAGACGUCAUGCCGGCUGUCCGGCGGGAGCACGCACAACAAUGGACGUCCACCUGACACGCACACGACACGCAACGAGAACGAUGGCUUUACUGUGCUGUUACUGCCCUCUCUCUCUCACCCGGCCUCGAGGCUGCAGGGCCCGCUGUGUUUUUCCCGGCUGCCCUUAUCCCUGCUGUUGACCCGCUCCACCACACCCCCGCCUGGCUCGCGCUUGGGGCGGGCCUCGCGGCACUUUGUGUUUACUUGGCUACAAGAGGAACCAUGUAUGCCUUCCUACGCCAAACCCCUCCGGGGUACCUCCACGGCCCCUCCACGUGAGACGGCGUCCCCACACCCAAAACUCGGGCAGACGCGGGUGGAUGCCUCUGCCCUGCUUGUGGCGUAGGAGUUUCUCCUCCCCGCCCCACCUACCGCCGAGCUCGCUCCUCUCUCCUUCGUCCUUUCUCGCUGUGCGCGGUGGAAUGUGUCUGAGCAACAGCCCUCCUCCUCCCUCUCUGCGUCUGUGUCUCUUUUCUGGCUGCUGGCGGAGGAAGAUACGGGGCUCCCCUAUGUGACGCCUUACCCGGGCGUUGAAUGGGAGCUGAUGCGAAGCAAGCAGACGGGCGGGUAGGUGGGGUAUGUACGCGAGGAGGCUCGUGCGCCGUUCUAGUCAUCUUGGCUUACAGAAGGCUAGGUAGCCUGGGUUUGUGCCUGUGUACGUGAGUGUCUGAGAUACACAGUUCCUUCGUUUUUUUUUCUUCGUGUCUGCGUGCGUGCUUGCGCGUCUUUCAUGUCGACGACGUCAUGGCUGCCGAUGCCAAUGCAGGCAAAACACGGGAAGGCGAAGGGCAACGGCAUCA